UAUGGUCAUAUCAUGUUGAAACACCAAUUCUUGUUUGAUCACCAAAGUUAAGCAACAUUGAGCUGGUCACUACUUGGAUGGGUAACCGCUGGAUAAUACUAGGUGCUGUAAG